GAUGAACGCUAGCGGGAGGCCUAACACAUGCAAGUCGAGCGGUAUUGUUUCUUCGGAAAUGAGAGAGCGGCGUACGGGUGCGGAACACGUGUGCAACCUGCCUUUAUCUGGGGGAUAGCCUUUCGAAAGGAAGAUUAAUACUCCAUAACAUAUUGAUUGGCAUCAAUUAAUAUUGAAAGCUCCGGCGGAUAGAGAUGGGCACGCGCAAGAUUAGCUAGUUGGUGAGGUAACGGCUCACCAAGACGAUGAUCUUUAGGGGGCCUGAGAGGGUGAUCCCCCACACUGGUACUGAGACACGGACCAGACUCCUACGGGAGGCAGCAGUGAGGAAUAUUGGUCAAUGGGUGCAAGCCUGAACCAGCCAUCCCGCGUGAAGGACGACUGCCCUAUGGGUUGUAAACUUCUUUUGUAUAGGGAUGAACCUACCCUCGUGAGGGUAGCUGAAGGUACUAUACGAAUAAGCACCGGCUAACUCCGUGCCAGCAGCCGCGGUAAGAC
rnacentral:rRNA from 1 species